UGAGGAAUAUUGGUCAAUGGGCGAGAGCCUGAACCAGCCAAGUAGCGUGCAGGACGACGGCCCUAUGGGUUGUAAACUGCUUUUAUGUGGGGAUAAAGUGCGUGACGUGUCAUGCAUUGCAGGUACCACAUGAAUAAGGACCGGCUAAUUCCGUGCCAGCAGCCGCGGUAAUACGGAAGGUCCGGGCGUUAUCUGGAUGUAUUGGGUUUAAAGGGAGCGUAGGCUGUCUAUUAAGCGUGUUGUGAAAUAUACCGGCUCAACCGGUGGCUUGCAGCGCGAACUGGUCGACUUGAGUAUGCAGGAAGUAGGCGGAAUUCAUGGUGUAGCGGUGAAAUGCUUAGAUAUCAUGACGAACUCCGAUUGCGCAGGCAGCUUACUGUAGCAUAACUGACGCUGAUGCUCGAAAGUGCGGGUAUCAAACAGG
rnacentral:rRNA from 1 species